UCUUUUCCACAGGACAUUCCACAUGGAGUCAGCUAAGCCUGCACCGCAUGUUUCCUAUGUCCUGAUCCUCCUGGGACAGCAUCGCUGCACAAUUAUACAGCACAAGCAAAGAACAAAUCUACUUACAACUUUCCAGUUCCAAGGAGCAGUUCUGCGUGUCUAGAGGAAAUCUGCUGAAGUCCAUGAAGCACAUAGCAGAGACCGUUAUUCUAAGAAAAUCAGAAGGACAAUAUAAAGAGUUUAUAAUACAGCAGGCUCACUGCGCCUAAUACUAAUGUGUCUAAUGGAGGCGGGGGAGAAAAUGAACUAUGAAUAAAAACCAUAAACCACA